ACAGCAGCCAAAACAUGGAAGCAACCCGAGCGACCGCGGACAGAUGAAUAAAUAAACAAGAUGUGGUCUCUACGCGACAGAAUAGGCUUGGCCUCCUCAAGGGCGGGAAUUCUGACACCUGCUAUGACAAGGACUGAACCUUGCACUCAUCGUGCUGAGGGAAAUACGCCGGUCACAGGGGGGGAAAUGCUCUCUUCUUCCCAAAUAAACCCAUUUUUGCUGGUAGAAACCGGCAGUGUUAUAUUUAAGGUAAACAGAACUAAUAAGCACGCCCGCAGGAUACGAGAUCAACACACAAACACCACGUGCACAUCUACAGACUCCCGACGACCCAUCGGAAAGAGAAGUGAAGACACGAUCCCAUUUACAACUGCCUCAGAAGGAACGAAGGGCCCGGGAGGAAACCUAAGCAGGAGGUGACAGGCCUGCUCUCUGAGGACAGGGCACUGGGGACAGAAACGGAGGAAGACGGCACAGGGACGGAGAGCUACUCUGUGCUCCUGGAGGUGGAGGAAUCGAUCCUGUGACCACGUCCGUCCUGCCCAGAGCGAUCUGCAGAUCCGGGGCCAUCGCACCGAACUCCCCACGACGCCGUCACGGACACGGGAGGGACACCCCGACCCGCGCGCGGAGACGGGACGGACCCCGCGCGGCCAGAGCGGCGGGAGCGCAAGCACCGCCGGAGAACUUGCUCCAGGACCGCGAACCGCGUAAGGACGCGGCGGGAACCGAGUCGGCGCGGGGCAGGAAGACGGACGCGCGGCCCCGCAGGCCCGGAGCCCGGAGCUGGAUGACCCGACGGCCGCGCGCACAACCCCGCGGGGGACACAGUGUUACCGCGCACGAAGCCGCGCCGGGCCCUUGCCCCGCCGGGUCCCCUGAACACCGACCCCCUCAGCAUCCCCGCUCCGGAAGCUCCUCCUCCCCGGGCCUCGCUUUCUCCUCACCUGCUCCUCCCGCGGCGGGUCCUGAGGAGACGGGUUCUUGUCGGCGUGCACGCGGCCCCACGUUCUCCCGAAGCCGCCACAGCUCGGGUCCUGAAGAAGCGGAGCUCCUGUCACGCAAGAGGCGGGCUCAAUGCGCGUGCGCGCGCCCGCGUCAGGGAGCGGGGCUCGGGCGCCCCCUGCAGGCAGUGGAGGUAGUGCGGGACAACACUGGGCUCACAGGUCCGUGGAGGCAGCGCCCCCUCCUGGCCGCCCACUAAAUCCAUGACAUUUUGGAAAUUGAAACUGAAGCGGAGCUCACUGUCCCCCAACUUCGCCAAAAAUAGUUAAAGAACAAUUAAUUGGAAACCAUAUGAAAUUAAAUGUACACACAAACUUUACAACCUACACCAAAAUUCACUGGACCCGCAGAUAAAUUCAAAAUGCAAACAGAAAGAGCAGCUCUUCCUGCCCACAGGUCCUGUCCCUGUGCUUCAAUAAAAUCACCUUUGUGCACCAAAGGCGUUUUCAAGAAUUCUUUCUUGGCAUGGGCUCAGGACCCCGCGAACCCCACUAUCACCCCCAAAAACCUCAUCAUUUAUAUGGCGCCCAUCCUGUGGGGCGAUGAGUCUUUUCAUCUGUACUCUGAGCUGGUGCAAACUUGAUGAGUACUCUUUCCUUCCUUUGCCCUCAUUUCAGGGCCUUUUGAGAAGAAUGCUCUUACUGGAACACUUUCAUGUCAAUCACGCAGGCUGCAAUCCCCUCAACCAUGGCUACUCUACGGGGAGAAGAAAGCCUGCCUUAUGGCUGGAAGUUAGUACCCUGGCCAGAACGGUAACAUUUUUAAGGAACUAAGAAUGACUAUGAAGCAUGACGCCAAUAAAGCCCCUUGGAAAUGUUGGCCUGAUACCUUGCUUACAGAGUUCCCAGAAGCCUUACAAGUGUCUCCCUGCCUGGUGCCAACACUCCUUCACAGCCAUAACUUCUAGAAGAUAGCUGAUCCUUUCUACUCAAGGAGGUUCAUAUAUGUUGUCUACCUUGGAUUGGCUGCCUCUGCCAGUGGUAACUCCUAUGUAUAAAUACCUUCCCCAAUUGACCAAUAUUGGCCCAUAGGUAGGGACAUCUCUAUGCCCCUACUCAGCAGGAAGAAGUUACAGAAGAUGAGACCUUCCACCCUCAGCAACCUCAAAGAUUUUAAGGGUCAAAAUUGUCCAGGGGGGAAUGAUGUGGGAAACAAAGGCAGAAGGAAAUGGCAGAUAAAAGUAAAUUUCCCUAUAACCUGCAGCCCAUUGGCAAAUACUUGAGGAAGGUUUCUCCAGGAACUCCCUACUGUCUCAAUGCUAAUGAUUUGCUAGGGGGAAAGACAAUAUUAGCUUGACAAUAGCUAGUCCUCCAAUAUCCAGUGAGUCUUCUUUAGCAUAUGAAAAUCUCACUAGAGGGGCACCUGGGUGGGUCAGGCUCAGGCCCUGACAGCUCAGAGCCUGGAGCCCCCUUCAGAUUCUGUAUCUCCCCCCUCUCUCUGCCCCUCCCAUGCUCAUGCUCUGUCUCUGUGUCUUAAUAAUAAAUAAACGUUAAGAAAAACAGAAAAGAAAA